rnacentral:lncRNA from 1 species
UAGGAAGUGUAAUAAGUUUAAGGUUUUGGUGCAACACCCUGAUGAGCAACUCGUGACGUGAUUUGUCCGGUAGAUGCUAAGGGGAGUGUUUUCAGUGCAAUUUCCUAAUAUCUGUCUCUGUUGUGAAAUGUUUGGUUGGUUGUUGAGCUUCUGAUAGUCUGGGUCUCUGCUCCUCUAAUGAUUUCAUUAUGAGCAUGGGAAACCACACGAGAACAUUUUGGAUCACCUCCAAAAGUGAAAUCUCGUGAAUUAUGGCCCAUCUAUUAAGAGCGAAAAUAACUUAACCCCAAAAAAAAAAAAAAAAAAAAAAAAGAAGAGAGCGUAAUGCGAAUAGUGAAAGAAUAUGAAAAAGGAAUGAGACAUGAUUGUAAAGGGAAUUGCAUUAGGAAAUUCACCCUUAGCGGAGAACUGGGUCUGAUCGGAUUGAGUUGUAUCACCUCGUUGUUGCACUUUUAAAUCUUAGCUUUGAACACUUGAUUGGGGGACAUUGAUUUCUUGAAGGGCUUGGAUUGGUUUGAGUUUGAUUGGUAAGAAGAAUCGCCUGUGGGUUUUCUUUCGAUUUU